GAUAUCAACUGAAAAAGUCAUCAACAACAAAGUUGAAUAACUCAUCAAGAUCUAAAACUUUUAUUUUGGUCAUUUCUUCAUACGACAAAGUGAUAGUAACAUUGUUCACAAAAUUGACAUAUCUCUUAUCUGGUUUUAUAAACUAUAAUACAUAUAUGUAAAAUUUGUGAAUAAUAUUACUAACAUUUCGUCAGAUGAAGAAAUAACAAAAAUAAAAGUUUUAGAUCUUGAUGAGUUAUUCAACUUUGUUGUUGAUGACUUUUUCAAUUGAAAUC
rnacentral:pre_miRNA from 1 species